AUUGAACGCUGGCGGCAGGCCUAACACAUGCAAGUCGAACGAGUGGCGGACGGGUGAGUAAUGUCUGGGACACUGCCCGAUGGAGGGGGAUAACUACUGGAAACGGUAGCUAAUACCGCAUACUCUCGGAUGUGCCCAGAUGGGAUUAGCUAGUAGGUGGGGAAAUGGCUCACCUAGGCGACGAUCCCUAGCUGGUCUGAGAGGAUGACCAGCCACACUGGAACUGAGACACGGUCCAGACUCCUACGGGAGGCAGCAGUGGGGAAUAUUGCACAAUGGGCGCAAGCCUGAUGCAGCCAUGCCGCGUGUAUGAAGAAGGCCUUAGGGUUGUAAAGUACUUUCAGCGGGGAGGCGUUACCCACAGAAGAAGCACCGGCUAACUCCGUGCCAGCAGCCGCGGUAAUAC
rnacentral:rRNA from 1 species